GACGAACGUUGGCGGUGCGCUUAAUGCAUGCAAGUCGAACGAGAACUGGUUCAUUCGUAAGAAUGGUUCCAGGGACAGUGGCGAACGGGUGCGUAACACGUGAGAAACCUGCCCUGGAGAUCGGGAUAGCCCGAGGAAACUCGGAUUAAUACCGAAUGCCUUCACCGAGUCGCAUGGCUCUAUGAAGAAAUGGUCCGCCGCUCCAGGAUGGUCUCGCGGCCUAUCAGCUUGUUGGUGAGGUAACGGCUCACCAAGGCAACGACGGGUAGCUGGUCUGAGAGGACGAUCAGCCACACUGGGACUGAGACACGGCCCAGACUCCUACGGGAGGCAGCAGCAGGGAAUAUUGCACAAUGGGCGAAAGCCUGAUGCAGCGACACCGCGUGCGGGAUGAAGGCCUUCGGGUUGUAAACCGCUUUCAGGAGGGACGAAAAUGACGGUACCUCCAGAAGAAGGCCCGGCCAACUAUGUG
rnacentral:rRNA from 1 species